rnacentral:lncRNA from 1 species
AGUUAAGCCACGCUUUUGUGGUCUAUUCCGUUAUUCCAAGCUCAUGUGAUUGAUUUCCACUGAAACUCAGCAGAGAAGAGAGGAGUCUUGGUGGGUGGGAGUAUGAACCACAAGAAUCUAGAUAUGUCCACGACUGCACCAAACUCCACUCUAAAAAGGUUCAGAGAGGCAGCCUGGCCCGUGCCAUGUCUGUCGCUCGAUGCCCCUUUGUGCAGGGCCCAUCACAGAACAAUGCAGAACGAAUCCUUAAUGACCAAGUGCUGCUGACUCGGGGCACAAAGACCCAGCAGAGGCACCUUUUUCUUUCCAAAGAUGGUCUGGUCAUUGCCAAGUUAAAGUAAGAUUUGACCUUAUCAACUAGCCUCUGCUAACAAACCCACACUUUUUCCACGUUGCAAAUACAUGGGAAAAAAUGACUCAAGAGAGUUAUAGAAGAAAGGGAAAGGGCCUUUAAAAAUCAUAAGCAAUUGCCUCAUUUUAUAGGUGAAGAAAAAGAGGGAAGAACCCAAGAUCAUGCAGCUAGUUAGCAGCAGAGAUGAGACUAGGCAGACUUACAGUUAAAA